rnacentral:rRNA from 1 species
UGGGGAAUAUUGCACAAUGGGCGCAAGCCUGAUGCAGCCAUGCCGCGUGUAUGAAGAAGGCCCUAGGGUUGUAAAGUACUUUCAGUCGGGAGGAAGGCGUUGAUGCUAAUAUCAUCAACGAUUGACGUUACCGACAGAAAAAGCACCGGCUAACUCCGUG